rnacentral:rRNA from 1 species
UGGGGAAUUUUGCACAAUGGGGGGAACCUUGAUGCAGCGACGCCGCGUGAGGGAUGGAGGCCUUCGGGUUGUGAACCUCUUUCGCUCGUGUGCAAGCCGCUAUUUGGGUAGUGGUGAGUGUAGCGGGUAAAGAAGCGCCGGCUAACUACGUGCCAGCAGCCGCGGUAAUACGUAGGGCGCGAGCGUUGUCCGGAUUUAUUGGGCGUAAAGGGCUUGUAGGCGGUUUGUCGCGCCUGUCGUGUAAUCCUCUGGCUUAACUGGGGGUGUGCGGUGGGUACGGGCAAGCUGGAGUGCGGUAGGGGGGAUUGGAAUUCCUGGUGUAGCGGUGGAAUGCGCAGAUAUCAGGAGGAACACCGGUGGCGAAGGCGGGUCUCUGGGCCGUUACUGACGCUGAGGAGCGAAAGCGUGGGGAGCGAACAGG